GCCAUACCAGCUAUGGCCAGGAGCUGUAGCUGGGCUGGUGGCCCAUGCCUGUGAUCCCAGCACUUAUGAGGCUGAUACAGAAGAAUCGCCCAUGUGUCUGUUGCUUGCCCAGCUACCUGGAAAAGCCUGUCUUCAGACAACAUGGAACUUAGAACCACAAGCCCGUCCCGAUGUUGCAAUAAGUUUGGCCUUUGGAGAUUGGAGCCAGUUCACUGAGUUGAUUAGUCCACCCCUGCCAUCCUGGGGACCGUGAGUGAGACAGACGACCUUUCCCUCAGUGCACAUCCAAGAAUGUGUAUUGAGUUUGGGACCACAAGUCAUGGAGACGGAGCUAACGCUCGCUCUCAUUGGUGGAAGAUUCCAGCCCCACCCACCGUUUCUCCACACCAAGUCCUAAAUCCUUGGAGCGUAAUUGAAGGAGUGGCGAGAGUGGGCGUGUCAUCGGAGGUGACGUUUCCGGAAGCUCCGACUGUCAUCCUUCAGGAAAGAACUCAUCGGUCCAAUGUCUGACCAUGCAGAUGUGAGCCUCCCACCCCAAGACCGGGUGAGGAUUCUGUCGCAACUCGGUAGUGCAGUUGAGUUAAAUGAAGACAUUCCGCCCCGUCGCUACUUUCGUUCCGGUGUUGAGAUCAUCCGCAUGGCAUCCAUUUACUCUGAAGAAGGCAACAUUGAACAUGCCUUUAUCCUCUACAACAAGUACAUCACGCUGUUUAUUGAAAAACUUCCAAAACACCGAGACUACAA
rnacentral:lncRNA from 1 species